UGGCUCAAAAUCUGCUGUGGUGGGAAGACUGACACCAUGGAAAUCAGCAGACACCAUAAACCAGCGCUUUCUCCUACAUGGAGCCAGGGGUUAAACAUCUGCCUAUAUGCUUUGUCCGUCUGGCCCAGGGGGAGUAGAUACCUUAGUUCCC